rnacentral:lncRNA from 1 species
UGGUAUGUAUUUUCUUCAUCUUCAAAUAUGUCAAACAUUCAUACACCAAUUCUAGUUUUCUGCCAUAUCUUUGCGCUGAAAUAAUUUAAUACAUAUACAUCCAUGACAUUAGGACGCCGUUCGAAGAGUCAUUAAUUACAGUAAACACUCCAACAAUAUGUACUCCUACAUAAUUGAUCAAGCAACAAAACCAGUCAUACUGGCAAACAUAAUGAAAAAGAAGACAAUGAGAUCACCAUAAACCAAAACAAAAAACAAAAAAACAAAAACAAAAAUAGACGAAACCGAAAGAAAAAGACGAGAGGGACAGCAUUGCACCUGGAAAAGAAGUAAGACGACAACUGAAGCAAUUAUAUCUAUUCAAAAAGCCAUUGUUCUACACAUUUUAGUUCAUAUAUAUAUUGAAUCGAUAACGACAUGUGAUGUGCAACUUUCGUGUAUGCUUGCAUCUCCUUCUGUUCAUGUAUGUACACCACAACAGUACAUCACAACCAGAGUAUUAAAUCAGUAAAGAAACGUAUACAGUACUGCUCAUUAUCAAUGAAGUCAAAGCAAAAGAAAAACAAACUUUUGUUUUUUCCCCUUUGCAGGGACAUCACAACAAAUACUUAUAUAAAAAAAUGUCAUUUUCUUCAUAUAUUAAACUGAAGACUCA